GGGGUCGUAGCUCAGUGGUAGAGCACUUGCCUAGCAUGUGUGAGGCCCUGGGUUUGAUCCCCAGCACCACA
rnacentral:tRNA from 1 species